ACACACACACACAUUACACCACAAACACAAAUGAAAUUGACCUAUUUACACAAUACCACACCACACUCUACACACACGCAAUCCUACAAGCAGGCUCCAAACACAUGCACCAUACACUUUCCUAGCCCUUUUGUGCUCUGGUAUCCCACUUGUGGAGACACCAGAUACAAUUUAAAAGCAAACAUAGCGCAAGCAUGUUAUUAAAUUUGCUUGCGCUGCGCAGAACAAAUACAGGGC